GACUUAAAGCACAUAUCAGAAAAAACUAAAAGCAUGAACAAACUAGAGUCCACAUGGAUGAUGCUAUGCGACUAGCCAUGUUUAGGAAAGUAAAAACAGCUGUCCAAUGAGGGUACAGGAUAGGGAUCACUCAGUAGCCUAAGCAUAAUAAAGAGGUUGACAAAAACAGGCACUAAAAUAAUAGACUGUAUUGCGCCACUGCAUUACAUAAUAAGAUGAAUGACAGCGCUUCAUGCUAUAAUGACAGCUCUUAGAAGAACAUUCUAGAAUUCAAGAUUCCAGAGCAGUGUCUCGUGCGCAAAAGAAAUAGGUAGCGCGUGAGGCCAAGAAUGUAUACAAGUAAUCCGUUCGGCCCGACAUCUGCCAGCCAGGAUGUUUGCUUAUGUGAAAUACACGGACGGAUUUAAGGCUUGUAGCUAUACCUAUAACAAACAUCCAAAACUUCAACCUAAAAACAUAUCAAGCGGACAUCCUCUAUCCCAUUCUUUGGGAAUACAAAUAUUUCAACGGCCAGGUUUUGCUUGUGAAAGGUACGAAUAAUUAGGCUACCUUAACAUUAAUAAUUAAUAAGCGAGUAGCCAACGGCUUAUUCUAACCGUUAGACUCUAACGGUUAGAGUAUGCCGUAUAUACAUAUAUAUAUAUAUAUAUAUAUAUAUAUAUAUUAUUAUUUGUUAUAUAUAGGCCUAUAUAUAUAUAUAUACAUAUAUAAUAUAUUCGUUACUGGUACAUUAAGAUGGCUUACUCUAACGGCCGUUGGCUUAAGCCAACGGCUUAUUCUAACCGUUAGACUCCAACGGCUAGAGUAUGCAGACUUCAUAAGCCGUAUAUAUAUAUUUAUAUAAACUACCGAAAUUAAAGUAAGGUCAAAUCAUUACCAUGGACAUUAAACAUUAACGUUAGCUUCACUUACACUUACCUUUUGACAGAAACCCAAGAGAUUCAGGACUCAACAUCAAAUCCUCCAAAACGAAUCAGAGUUCCAAGGAUCCAAGAAGAUUUUUUGAUGUGAUCAUUGUGAAGGGACAUCCACAGAAAUGGAUGCUCUAAAAAAGAAAUCGGUAUGUUUUUCUUAUUUUUAAGGAAAAUGUUCUGAAAAAUUCAUCUUCUGCUUCUUCCUCUUCUUCCUGGUGCAUGCUGGGAGAUUUUCGGAGGGUGAAAGAAAGAGAAGACUGGUUGUGGACUUAAAGGGAACCACUUCCUGGCCUUCCUGACAUCCAGGAAAAAGGUGAGAUUCAAAUCCAUGUUAAUGCCAGAAGCAAUUUAUUGUUUUUAACUUUUUAAAUAUGAUUUGGGGCAUUUCAGUUUUAUUGAAAAGAGGCAGCAGAGAUCUACUGGAAACAGUGGAGAGGGAGGAGAUGAUAUGCAGCAAAAGGCCCACCCGGAUGGUUGCUGCUCCGUGUGGAACGUGUUCUAUCAGAAAGGAUCAUGCCAGCCCACAUCAAACACCUGAUCAAGAACUUGUGAAUCUUCAGGCAGAACAGAUGAAAACACCUGUUCAAAGUUCCAGUUCCCUGCAUGGAACCAUGCCUGUCUGGGACUCUGUUCCACAUGUCUUCAGUCAGUCCUGGACCCUAUGACUAGGACACUAGUUCUAGCAAGGCUUAUUAGAGAUCUGCUACAUUGGAGGAUUCCAAAGCUGAGCUGGAAGGGGAAGUCACCACCUACAGGACAGCAAAUCUAAACAUUAAUUUGGAUAAACUAUUAAACCAGGUAUUUUCACAAAAAGAACAAUCUGAGAUACCUGAACAGCGUGAGCCGGCACCCUGGACACCCACACACCCCAAUAAUUCCCCUUCAAAGAGCGAGCCACAUGGGAAGGAGCAAGGGGAGAUUCCAGUGCGUCCAGAGGUCUGGGCAAAAAUAAAAAACAACACAAGGGACUCCAUGUUCGUGAAGGAGUUGGCUGUGGUGUUUUGGGGCACCGACACCUUAGGGGAAAGGAGCCUGACUGGAAAGGAAUGCCCCACCACCAAGACCACCAGGCAGCCUCUAACAAUUUGCUUCAAGCAGUGGCUGUACGAGAAAUACGUGGAGGACCAAGAAAUGCUGGCCGGAUUGGCAAAGACCGGAAGAUACAUAACAGAGAAGAUAAUGGAUAUUAACAAGAAAAAAAAAAAAAAACUUAAAAAAAAAAAGUCUAUAAUUUAUUUGUUGCUAUUUACAUGUUGAAUUAUAUUUGUUAUUUCUAAAUCAAAUGCAUCUAUUAUAGAUUAUAUAUUUAUUUAGACGUAGGUUUUUUUUGUAAUAUUAUUGUAUUGUUAAUGUAUAAUUUA